GAUGAACGCUGGCGGCGUGCUUAACACAUGCAAGUCGAACGGGAAACCUUUUAUUGAAGCUUCGGCAGAUUUAGCUGGUUUCUAGUGGCGGACGGGUGAGUAACGCGUGGGUAACCUGCCUUAUACAGGGGGAUAACAGUCAGAAAUGACUGCUAAUACCGCAUAAGCGCACAGGGCCGCAUGGCCCGGUGUGAAAAACUCCGGUGGUAUAAGAUGGACCCGCGUUGGAUUAGCUGGUUGGUGGGGUAACGGCCACCAAGGCGACGAUCCAUAGCCGGCCUGAGAGGGUGAACGGCCACAUUGGGACUGAGACACGGCCCAGACUCCUACGGGAGGCAGCAGUGGGGAAUAUUGCACAAUGGGGGGAACCCUGAUGCAGCGACGCCGCGUGAAGGAGAAGUAUCUCGGUAUGUAAACUUCUUUUAAGGGGGAACAGUAGAAGAGGGUACCCCUUGAAUAAGCCACGGCUAACUACGUG
rnacentral:rRNA from 1 species